AUUGAACGCUGGCGGCAUGCCUUACACAUGCAAGUCGAACGGUAACGGGCCUUCGGGUGCCGACGAGUGGCGGACGGGUGAGUAAUACAUCGGAACGUGCCCGAUCGUGGGGGAUAACGAGGCGAAAGCUUUGCUAAUACCGCAUACGAUCUACGGAUGAAAGCAGGUGACCGCAAGGCCUUUCCCGGACGUGCCGGCCGAUGGCAGAUUAGGUAGUUGGUGGGAUAAAAGCUUACCAAGCCGACGAUCUGUAGCUGGUCUGAGAGGAUGAUCAGCCACACUGGAACUGAGACACGGCCCAGACUCCUACGGGAGGCAGCAGUGGGGAAUUUUGGACAAUGGGCGCAAGCCUGAUCCAGCCAUGCCGCGUGCAGGAUGAAGGCCUUCGGGUUGUAAACUGCUUUUGUACGGAACGAAAAGCCUUCUUUUAAUACAGGAGGGUCAUGACGGUACCGUAAGAAUAAGCACCGGCUAACUACGUG
rnacentral:rRNA from 1 species